GAUGAACGCUGGCGGCGUGCCUAAUACAUGCAAGUCGAGCGGACGGACGAGAAGCUUGCUUUUCUGAUGUUAGCGGCGGACGGGUGAGUAACACGUGGAUCACCUACCUAUAAGUCUGGGAUAACUUCGGGAAACCGGAGCUAAUACCGGAUAAUAUUUUGAACCGCGUGGUUCAAAAGUGAAUGACGGUCUUGCUGUCACUUAUAGAUGGAUCCGCGCUGCAUUAGCUAGUUGGUAAGGUAACGGCUUACCAAGGCAACGAUGCAUAGCCGACCUGAGAGGGUGAUCGGCCACACUGGAACUGAGACACGGUCCAGACUCCUACGGGAGGCAGCAGUAGGGAAUCUUCCGCAAUGGGCGAAAGCCUGACGGAGCAACGCCGCGUGAGUGAUGAAGGUCUUCGGAUCGUAAAACUCUGUUAUUAGGGAAGAACAGAUGUGUAAGUAACUGUGCACAUCUUGACGGUACCUAAUCAGAAAGCCACGGCUAACUACGUG
rnacentral:rRNA from 1 species